AGAGAUGGGGUGUUCUUCCUGGCGCAAACACGGGGUCUUGGCGGUGGCCAUCCUUGGCGCCGCAACGGCAAUGGCGGCAGCAACAUUCUUCCUCGGCCGGUCCCUGACAGAUGCGGCGAAGUCGCUGUCGGAUUCUGCGAGCUCCAUGAAGGAAUCGCUCGAUUCCUCUGCGAAAUCCUUCAAGGAAUCGUUCGAUUCUGCUGUGGCGUCGUUCGACCGCGGAGUGGCUUCUUUGGAUCGCGGCAUCGACACAAUCGGCGCGUUCAAGGUGCUCAAGAAUGGGUGCACAGUCUCCUUAAAUCCAGUCGGCUUGGUUCCGAGGGAAGAUUAAUCUCGGCGAUCGGAUGAUCCAAAGCGCAGGAAAGCAGCGAGCUGGCAGCGAAGCGCGAUCGGUUUUCUUCUUUUUCUUUCCUUCUUUCUUUCGCUUCCUUCCUUUGACUGACACGUUUUGAGCGAGCAAUUGUAUAGAUUUUGCGAGCGGUUGUAUAGAUUUUGCGAAGGACAAUGUAACAAUUCUUUCGGACGCUCUA